AGGGAAUCUUCCGCAAUGGACGAAAGUCUGACGGAGCAACGCCGCGUGAGUGAUGAAGGCCUUCGGGUCGUAAAACUCUGUUGUUAGGGAAGAAUAAGUACCGGAGUAACUGCCGGUACCUUGACGGUACCUAACCAGAAAGCCACGGCUAACUACGUGCCAGCAGCCGCGGUAAUACGUAGGUGGCAAGCGUUGUCCGGAAUUAUUGGGCGUAAAGCGCGCGCAGGCGGUCCUUGAAGUCUGAUGUGAAAGCCCACGGCUCAACCGUGGAGGGUCAUUGGAAACUGGGGGACUUGAGUGCAGAAGAGGAAAGCGGAAUUCCACGUGUAGCGGUGAAAUGCGUAGAGAUGUGGAGGAACACCAGUGGCGAAGGCGGCUUUCUGGUCUGUAACUGACGCUGAGGCGCGAAAGCGUGGGGAGCAAAC
rnacentral:rRNA from 1 species